rnacentral:snoRNA from 1 species
ACUCCAUGGUGUGGACAUUUUCGUUGCAAAUCCUUAAAUCUUUCCCAGGCAUCAUGAAGCGUUUCGUUGUCACAUUGCUUGAAGCUAGUGAUGUUAGUCCUCAGCUU